rnacentral:rRNA from 1 species
GACGAACGCUGGCGGCGUGCCUAAUACAUGCAAGUAGAACGCUGAAGAGAGGAGCUUGCUCUUCUUGGAUGAGUUGCGAACGGGUGAGUAACGCGUAGGUAACCUGCCUGGUAGCGGGGGAUAACUAUUGGAAACGAUAGCUAAUACCGCAUGAAAUUGCUUAUCGCAUGAUCAUUGAUUGAAAGAUGCAAUUGCAUCACUACCAGAUGGACCUGCGUUGUAUUAGCUAGUUGGUGAGGUAACGGCUCACCAAGGCGACGAUACAUAGCCGACCUGAGAGGGUGAUCGGCUACACUGGGACUGAGACACGGCCCAGACUCCUACGGGAGGCAGCAGUAGGGAAUCUUCGGCAAUGGGGGGAACCCUGACCGAGCAACGCCGCGUGAGUGAAGAAGGUUUUCGGAUCGUAAAGCUCUGUUGUAAGAGAAGAACGGGUGUGAGAGUGGAAAGUUCACACUGUGACGGUAUCUUACCAGAAAGGGACGGCUAACUACGUG